UCCCACCUAGCCCAGUGGUAGCGCCUCCUCUCUCAUUACGGGAGACCCGGGUUCGAUCCCCAGGCGUGCCAA
rnacentral:tRNA from 1 species